rnacentral:lncRNA from 8 species
AUGUCUGAACUCUCACAUAAGUCAAGUCUCAACUAUCAGCCCUCAAGCGCUUCCUCCCAGUCUCAAAGCAACUCAAAGGUCAACUUCAGACACUCAAGCGUGUCAUCUGUUAAGAGACAAGUUGCUGCUAACCAAGCAGCUUUAGAAGUAAUGGUUAAGCAAGAAAGCCAACUAGAAGAGCUUCAGAGACUCGAAGAUGAAGAUAAGAAGAGGACAGCGGAGCAAGAAGCUGAGGCUGUGAAACGCAGCUUAGAAGAAGCUAGGCUGCGAGUCAAGUUAGAGGUAGAAAAUGCUGCCAGACGAAGGACGCUAGAAGACAAGCGUAGAGAGUUAGAGCGCUUAGAAGUGCUCAAGAAACUAAAUACUGCCAAGGCGCGGAUGCAAGUGUAUGAGCAAGAUGAAAACUCAGAGGACGAGAAGAGAGAACUACUCUCUAACUUCAAAUCUGUGAAAGAAGUCAUGCACAGAAGUGGCUCAUUUCACAGUCUCUCACCACAACAUGUUGUGACAAGCACACAACAUGAAGAUAGCACCAAGACCAUGUUCAGGUUACUAGCGGAAUCAAUCAGUGAAAGCCGCCUCCCCAUACCAGAACCAGUGACAUUCAAUGGAGAACCACUCUCGUUCACUGACUGGAAGGUCUCUUUUCAGACUCUGAUAGACAGGAAGAACAUACCAGCAACUGAGAAUAUAUAUUACUUAAGAAAAUAUGUCGGUGGGCCUGCCAAGAAAGCCAUCGAAAGUUACUUUAUGUUAGGAACAGAGUCAGCCUACCAUGCUGCGUGGACCAUUCUUGAAGAAAGGUACGGAAACAAAUUCCUCAUCGCCAAGUCCUUCAGAGAUAAGCUCAAUGCAUGGCCUAAGAUAGGAUCCAAGGACAGUCUUAAACUUAGAGACCUUGUAGAUUUUCUCCGCAGCUGUGAGGCUGCUAUGUUUCAGAAUAAGGGCCUGAAGGUGCUUAAUGACUGUAAUGAAAACCAAAAGAUCCUCGCUAAACUUCCAGAUUGGCUAAUUUCAAGAUGGAAUAGAAAGGUCAUAGACAUCCUAGAAGAAACUGAGACCUUUCCCAGCUUCAGUCAGUUUGUAAAGUUUCACACGAGAGAAGCCAAGAUCGCUUGCAAUCCUGUAACAUCCCUUCACGCUUUGAAACCAAGCGAAGAUGGAAAACCUAAGACGCCAAGGAUUCAAAGCCCUGGAGCAAGGGUAUUAGCAACUAACUCUGAUGAGAAAAAUACUGUCACUAGUUGUGUCUUCUGUGAGAAGUCAGGUCAUAGUCUCCACAAAUGUUGGAAGUUCAUGGAUAAGCCCACCGCAGAGCGACAGAAGUUUGUUCAAGAGAAUAAAUUGUGCUUCGGCUGUUUAAGGCCUGGGCAUCGUUCGAAAGAUUGUGAUAACAGGAACACCUGUGACACGUGUCAGAGGAGGCAUCCAUCCUGCCUGCACGAAGAUCGUACUAAAGAAAGGUCAAGGGAUAGGAAGACAGAGCCCCCACAAGAUAAGGGGACAAGUGCGUCAAGUGAAGCCAUAUCUAACAGAGUCGUAAGGGACAUUAACAACACUCACACCUCCACAAUCAUUCCAGUAUGGGUGUCAACCACAAGCGAGCCCGAUCGUGAAGUUCUCGUGUAUGCACUUCUUGACACCCAGAGCGACACCACCUUUAUCCUUGAAGAGACAACAAAGGCUCUCAAUACAAAGAAGGAGCCAGUACAACGAAACUCUCUACAAUGGCCUCAAGGAAUACCAUCGUGCCCAGCCAGAAGCUGUCUGGUUUGCAGGUUAGAGGGUUUUACCUGGAGAAGAAAAUCCCUCUGCCAACUACCUACUCGAGAGAGUUUAUUCCUGCAAACAGAGAUCAUAUUCCUACUCCAGAGACGGCAAGAGCAUGGUCUCAUCUUCAACACAUUGCAGAGGAGAUUGCUCCUCAACAGAGCUGUGAUGUCGGUCUCUUAA